AGCGAACGCUGGCGGCAGGCCUAACACAUGCAAGUCGAACGAAGUCUUCGGACUUAGUGGCGGACGGGUGAGUAACACGUGGGAACGUGCCUUUAGGUUCGGAAUAACUCAGGGAAACUUGUGCUAAUACCGAAUGUGCCCAUCGGGGGAAAGAUUUAUCGCCUUUAGAGCGGCCCGCGUCUGAUUAGCUAGUUGGUGAGGUAAGGGCUAACCAAGGCUACGAUCAGUAGCUGGUCUGAGAGGAUGACCAGCCACAUUGGGACUGAGACACGGCCAAAACUCCUACGGGAGGCAGCAGUGGGGAAUCUUGCGCAAUGGGCGAAAGCCUGACGCAGCCAUGCCGCGUGGAUGAUGAAGGUCUUAGGAUUGUAAAAUCCUUUCACCGGUGAAGAUAAUGACUGUAGCCGGAGAAGAAGCCCCGGCUAACUUCGUGCCAGCCGCCGCGGUAAUAC
rnacentral:rRNA from 1 species